UUUCAUUUCAUUUACCUCUUAGGAAAGCAACCAUUCUCUCCAUCUUAGCCACAGCUCUCUCAUCUUCCGGGUCAGACAGAUGAAAUGCAUGAUCCAUACCUUCAUCCUCUACAAGCUCCGCCUCCCCUUCCCACCCGCAACUCACCAACGCCUCGUAGUACGCGUGCCCCCUUGCCUUCAGGAAAUCCUUUCCCGCCACAAACACCACCACCCGCCUGCUCGGCAGACUCUUCAAUGGCGGCGCCGCUGCCGCCAGCGGGUUUACGAGAGGAUCAUCCAUCCCUUCCGUUGAGGGGCAAGACGUCCUCCAUACCCUCUCCACUAACUCCCUAAUCGAUGGAUCCGUCGUCUCCCCCCGUACUGGCUCUGUUCCCCAGAAAUACGGGUGCACCAGAGCCAGCCCUUCCAUAUUCACGUCGCCGCCGGCGUGGAGUGCAACGUGG
rnacentral:misc_RNA from 1 species